UGGGUGCUGGUUUUGAGGUAGAUUGACCGACUUUGUUCCGUCCGAUUUUUUUGUUUUGAAGACACCGUUAAAAAAUAGACGUGGUGACGAUGCAGAUUUUGACUCCUCGUGUUUACUGGGCUCAGCGUCACGGAGAGAUUUAUCUGCGGGUGGAACUGAGCGAUGCAAAGAACCUUGACAUCAGCCUGCAAGAAAACAACAUACUUCAGUUCAGAGCACAAGGCCAUGGAGCUAAAGGAGAUAAUGACUAUGAGUUCAGUUUGGCUUUCCUGGAGCCUGUCAGACCUGAGCACUAGACUGGAGUCGGACUUUGCACAUGCACCAAAAUUUCCUCCUCCGGUCUUCAACCUGGAAGUAGAAGGAGACGACUUAUAAACUGCGGUACUGUUGCCAGAAAAUAACAAACAACACAAUGGCAUGCUCGAUCUAAUUUGUGUCAGGUUUAAAGUAAUACAGGGCAUUAUUUUAGAUUUUUCGAUUCUCAAGCGCCCCACCGAGUGUAACAGCACUGUCGUAAAUACCACUCUGACGCCGUGCCAAGCCUCCUCCUCCACUGCUCCUCGAUCAGCACAGCGUUGCAGAAAACAACAAUGUCGUCCGACAAGGAUUACUCCUCACCUCUCAGCACAAGCUCUUCAGCGGCAUAGACAACGACCACAUUCCGGAGCCUGGAUUUAAGCAGCACCAGAAAAACACUGUUUAAUGACAGCAUGGUCACAUGGGUGGUCAUUUCAAGCUUCUGUGUUUGGAAAAUAAGGCAUAAAUAUCCUGAUCCAAGGGACACCUACUCUGUGUGCACACUUCAGUCUGUACUGACUAGUGAAGAAAAAAAGUUAAACUCUUACAACAAGUAAAUGUAUA